rnacentral:lncRNA from 1 species
UUGAUCAAUUAUAAUUUAUAUAUUUUUAUCAAAAAAAUAAUAAAAUAAUAAAAAAAAUAUAUCUUUACCAAUUCUUGUUGUGCUAUGAAAAUUGGUGCUGUCAUCUUUCCCGCUUGUUUUGAAAGCCACAGGAUUAGCAGUAUCCUCAUGCUGUGAGUUGAGUCAGACGGGUGGGUUGGAUGUGGGCGACGCGUCAGCCAUAUUAUAAUGAGAGCGACCUGCACAACUGCUGUUAUAAUUUCUUUUCUUUUUCAAUAACUGAUGG